UACGUAGGGGGCAAGCGUUGUCCGGAUUUAUUGGGCGUAAAGAGCGUGUAGGCGGCCAGGUAGGUCUGCUGUGAAAACUCGAGGCUUAACCUCGAGCUGUCGGCGGAAACCAUCUGGCUAGAGUCCGGAAGAGGAGAAUGGAAUUUCCGGUGUAGCGGUGAAAUGCGUAGAUAUCGGAAGGAACAUCAGUGGCGAAAGCGACUUCCUGGACCAAUACUGACGCUCAUGUGCGAAAGCGUGGGGAGCAAACAGG
rnacentral:rRNA from 1 species